UACGUAGGGUGCAAGCGUUGUCCGGAAUUAUUGGCGUAAAGAGCUCGUAGGCGGUCUGUCGCGUCUGCUGUGAAAACUCGGGGCUUAACCCCGGGCCUGCAGUGGGUACGGGCAGACUAGAGUGCGGUAGGGGAGACUGGAAUUCCUGGUGUAGCGGUGAAAUGCGCAGAUAUCAGGAGGAACACCGGUGGCGAAGGCGGGUCUCUGGGCCGUAACUGACGCUGAGGAGCGAAAGCGUGGGGAGCGAACAGG
rnacentral:rRNA from 1 species